UACGUAGGUGGCAAGCGUUGUCCGGAUUUACUGGGCGUAAAGCGUGCGCAGGCGGUUCGUUGUGUCGGCGGUCAAAGCCCCGGGCUUAACCUGGGAAUGGCCGUUGAAACUGGCGAACUGGAGUGUGGCAGAGGGGGGUGGAAUUCCGCGUGUAGCAGUGAAAUGCGUAGAGAUGCGGAGGAACACCGAUGGCGAAGGCAGCCCCCUGGGCUGACACUGACGCUCAGGCACGAAAGCGUGGGGAGCAAACAGG
rnacentral:rRNA from 1 species